rnacentral:lncRNA from 1 species
AGUUCGUGUGUCGUGAUGAAUGUAUUUACUUUAUAUCUUUCGCGAUGUAUCGUCACUUAUAUAACGAGACGACGCUUAAAACAUGUCGAUAGUGUAACUGAUGCAUCGUGACAAUUCUCAGUAUAAAGUUACGGAAACUACGAAAUUCUGUAUCAUGAGUGCUAAGGCUGCUGUUCGAGCUACAUAGAGGGUGCCUAUAAUUGACAAUGAGUUUACAUAAGUUGCUUUACAAAUACAAUAUCGGUUAUCAGUUAAAGGAAACUACGAAAUUCUGUAUCAUGAGUGCUAAGGCUGCUGUUCUAGCUACAUAGAGGGUGCCUAUAAUUGACAAUGAGUUUACAUAAGUUGCUUUACAAAUACAAUAUCGGUUAUCAGUUAAAGGAAACUAUGAAAUUCUGUAUCACGAGUGCUAAGGCUGCUGUUCGAGCUACAUAGAGGGUGCCAGGUAAGAACCAGGUAGAUGCUGCACUCUAUCAGCGAAAAUUUUAAUUAUAGUAUCAGUAAUCUGUUUCUUCGACUUAUAAUUUAUUUCUGAUAAUAAACUUUUUAGAAAAUGCAAGAAAUACAUUGAUAUUAAUAUAAAAAAAACUUUUUAAAAAGUUAUGUAUUAGAAUUAUAUACAAUGUGUAUGUAACUCUAGAAUUUUACUGCUGAAACACUGCUUAAUAAUAUUUUAAUUUAUUAAAUCGACGAGUGUUUUCG